rfam:Asian citrus Psyllid, Diaphorina citri - Florida Strain, whole genome shotgun sequence.
ACCUCGGUGGUCUAGUGGUCAAGACGCUCGUCUAGUAAUCAGGAGAGUAUUGGUUCAAUACCGUCCGUAGUA